GUGUCAGCAGCCGCGGUAAGACGGAGGAGGCAAGCGUUAUCCGGAAUUAUUGGGCGUAAAGCGUCCGCAGGCGGCUUUUUAAGUCUGUUGUCAAAGCCCACAGCUCAACUGUGGAUCGGCAAUGGAAACUGAGAAGCUAGAGUGUGGUAGGGGUAGAGGGAAUUCCCGGUGUAGCGGUGAAAUGCGUAGAUAUCGGGAAGAACACCAGUGGCGAAGGCGCUCUACUGGGCCACAACUGACGCUGAGGGACGAAAGCUAGGGGAGCGAAAGGGAUUAGAAACCCUUGUAGUCC
rnacentral:rRNA from 1 species